GGCAUUUCUGGUUUGCCAUGGAACCCGAGUUCGAGUCGGACUUCAUUGGCGGGUUCCGGAACACGUCCCAUCCUUUUGUCUCAACGAUCAAUUCUCUCAGAGUCACGUCGAAACUGAGGAAGUCGCGUACCGUUAGCUACCAAUUCGGAAUAAUAAGUUUCUGGGACGAUGCACGCGAUCGGGUGCGACGAACUGUUAUUGCUUGCGAAAGGGAAUGCGGUUGAUCGGAGACAGCCGGCAGUGGAGAGCUAAAUUUCUAAUAAUCAGUUAGAUUAUACUGAUUAUUGCACCCUGCAUGAAUUACGACACAAGCGUCGUGAUCUUGCGUCUUAUUCGUCGAGAGAUGUAGCAAAAGAUUCAUCCGAUAAAAGACGGAUGACUGGUCAAGAAUGACGGUGAGAAUAGAGAUGAGAUUAGAAAAGGAUAAGUGGAAAAGUCCGUUCGUCGAUACCAAAAGGAUUAACCCAACGGGUUAAAAGGCUUAUUUAUCUCUCGUCGAUCUUUCAUCAAACUUUCGACGAGACAGGAUAUGCAGCGGACUCCGGGACGAGGAUCGCCAAAGAAUUUCGCUCCGCGAGUGUGAGUGUGAGUCACAUGUGCAGAAAAGAGCCAGAGUUCUCGGAGGAACGCGAGGUCACGAGGAAAGGAACGACCUUGCCACGGAGAAUAUAUUUCGAGAAUGGAUUUUAACGCUACGACGAUCGGCAGCCGGAUCCAGUUCAUCGUCCCCGAUCGCCCGAUCGUGUGGGUAUGUAGUAUGUAUGUGAACCAAUGUUUUUUCCGAUCAUUCCUAACCGUCUGCCUCAUCGCACAUUGUACAUCGCUUGCUUCUUCACCGAGGAAGCAGGAUCCUAGCGAGUACUUACCCACGAUUUCUCG